GUUUGCUUCAUGAGCUACCGCGCAUGUGUCGAAGCCUCGGAUAUCAGAGGACCAUCACUACUGGUAGCAUCUCUGGCUGCUGCUGAUCUUGUUUUUGGAGUAAAACACGGUGGAAGCUGAAUUAGUGAGGAUGACUCCUGCUCCUGUCAUCUCUAAGCUCCUCACACAUCUUUACCUGCACAUGAGGAAAAUCACUCCUGUAGAAUGCAGAUGUUCAGAGGGAGAUGAUGCCACAUCUGGUCCAGCUGAUGGAAGGUCUUGAAGUUCUCUGACUGGCCUCGACUGAAGAUGGUCGUCCCACUGGAUUUAAGGUUCAGAUGCUCAGUAACAAACUCCACCAAUGUGCCAACAGGGAAGCUUUAGGUUUAUUAAAUGUUGCUAUGAAGGUAUCACUGUUUUUCUUUGUGAAUGUAAUGUGCUCCAACUGAAACUUGAAUUAGAACUUAGAAGUAAAUCCUUCCAUCUGAAAGGAUUUAGUUGCAUUAAUAACCUCAUAACAUUCUAAUUUUUAUUCCAGUCUUGGUUGGAAAUAGAAUCUCUGUAUUGAUUCAGGUAAAAACUGAACUUCACAGCAUGUUGAAGCAAAACAACCAGAUGAAAACUGUGAUGGUGUUGGAUUGUCAGACCGUAAUGUUGCAGCUCAAAGCAGCUUUUCUAGCUCAGUUCAUUCUGACAUUCAGCUAUGAAUCAACACAGCAGAUGGUGAUCCAUGCUGUGGAAGUCUCACAUCUCCUGAUUUAAUGGAGCUGCUUUGCACUUUUUACACUGUUUAUUCACCAACACUUUAUUUAAUAAAAUCCCAUCUAGUUUUUAUGAGGAAUGUGAUGUUUUAAUUUCUCUGUGAAUAACUGCAGUCUAAUGCAACAGCUGGAGUUGUAACAUCUGUCCUGAUAUUUAUCAUGAAGUAUUGAUCAGAAUACUUAUGGUUAGCAGUCAUCCCUGAAGUUUUACAUUAAAAUCUUUACUUGUGUUGUGAACUUUGGUAAGAAGC
ensembl:lncRNA